rnacentral:rRNA from 1 species
GGGAGGUAGUGACAAUAAAUAACAAUACGGGGUUCUUUCGGAUCUCGUAAUUGGAAUGAGUACAAUUUAAAUCUCUUAACGAGGAACAAUUGGAGGGCAAGUCUGGUGCCAGCAGCCGCGGUAAUUCCAGCUCCAAUAGCGUAUAUUAAAGUUGUUGCAGUUAAAAAGCUCGUAGUUGAAUUUCGGGAUCAAUUUAUCGGUCGUGCCUACGGUAUGAACUGGUACAAUUGGUUUCUCCCUUCUGACGAAGCAUGAUGCCAUUAAUUUGGUGUCGUGGGGAAUCAGGACUGUUACUUUGAAAAAUUAGAGUGUUUAAAGCAAGCUCACGCUUGAAUACAUUAGCAUGGAAUAAUGAAAUUGGACAUUGUAUUCUAUUUUGUUGGUUUCUAGGAUCGAUGUAAUGAUUAAUAGGGAUAGUUGGG